rnacentral:piRNA from 1 species
ACCAUCAUUGAUGCCCCAGGACACAGAGA